UACGGAGGGUGCGAGCGUUGUCCGGAAUCACUGGGCGUAAAGGGCGCGUAGGCGGCUCAUGAAGGCUGUGGUGAAAGUCCGGGGCUCAACCUCGGAUCGGCCGUGGCGACUCGUGGGCUGGAGCACUGUAGAGGCGGGUGGAAUUCCGGGUGUAGCGGUGGAAUGCGUAGAGAUCGGGAAGAACACCAGUGGCGAAGGCGGCCCGCUGGGCAGUGGCUGACGCUGAAGCGCGACAGCGUGGGGAGCAAACAGG
rnacentral:rRNA from 1 species